GACUUCAGAUGCCCCCCUUCAGUGCAAAUGCAAGUGACGUCAUCCUUCCUUUCCUCAUGGGGAACAGGUUUGGACUGUGUCCGGCAUGAACUGUCUACUCUCUGGGUACCCGAAAUUCAUCUGGGAAGAAGACAGAUAGGAUGCGAACCUAGUCAGAGUGACUGACACCAUUCAUUUCAAAGAUGUGAUGUGAUCAGUUGCUUUAGACUCCGGAUGCCUUGACUUCUUCAAAAUGACGUGGAAAUGCACUCUGAAUUAUUUCUUUCUUCCAUAAGUUGUAUUUGGGUGUUUCAUCACAGCAACAGGAAAGGAAACUGAGGCAGAUGGUAUCUCAGUUGCUGACCAGAAAAGCGGGGACAAAGAAAUUUGGGUCCCUGGCAAACCUUUGAUGCCUGGCUUUAGGUAUCUGAGUUAUAACUGCAUUUCCUCUCAAUUAUUAAAAUAAAACAUAAGAAAUUCUAAGAGAUA